rnacentral:rRNA from 1 species
GUGAGGAAUAUUGCGCAAUGGAGGCAACUCUGACGCAGCCAUGCCGCGUGCAGGAAGAAGGCGCUACGCGUUGUAAACUGCUUUUAACCGGGAAGAAACCCCAGGACGUGUCCUGGGUUGACGGUACCGGAGGAAUAAGCACCGGCUAACUUCGUGCCAGCAGCUGCGGUAAUACGAAGGGUGCACGCGUUAUCCGGAUUCAUUGGGUUUAAAGGGUGCGUAGGAGGAGCGUUAAGUCAGUGGUGAAAUCCUGCAGCUUAACUGUAGACUUGCCAUUGAUACUGGCGCUCUUGAGUGCGCUUGAAGUGGGCGGAAUGUGCCGUGUAGCGGUGAAAUGCUUAGAUAUGGCACAGAACACCAAUUGCGAAGGCAGCUCACUAAGGCGAUACUGACGCUGAGGCACGAAAGCGUGGGGAUCGAACAGGAUUAGAAACCCCAGUAGUCC